AUUGAACGCUGGCGGCAUGACUUACACAUGCAAGUCGAACGGUAACGCGGGGCAACCUGGCGACGAGUGGCGAACGGGUGAGUAAAGCAUCGGAACGUGCCCAGUAGUGGGGGAUAGCCCGGCGAAAGCCGGAUUAAUACCGCAUACGACCUAUGGGUGAAAGGGGGGGAUCGCAAGACCUCUCGCUAUUGGAGCGGCCGAUGUCAGAUUAGGUAGUUGGUGGGGUAAAGGCCUACCAAGCCGACGAUCUGUAGCUGGUCUGAGAGGACGACCAGCCACACUGGGACUGAGACACGGCCCAGACUCCUACUGGAGGCAGCAGUGGGGAAUUUUGGACAAUGGGCGCAAGCCUGAUCCAGCCAUGCCGCGUGCGGGAAGAAGGCCUUCGGGUUGUAAACCGCUUUUGUCAGGGAAGAAAUCCUUUGGGUUAAUACCUCGGGGGGAUGACGGUACCUGAAGAAUAAGCACCGGCUAACUACGUGCCAGCCGCCGCCGUAA
rnacentral:rRNA from 1 species